rnacentral:rRNA from 1 species
GGUGCAUGGCCGUUCUUAGUUGGUGGAGUGAUUUGUCUGGUUAAUUCCGUUAACGAACGAGACCGCCGCCUGCUAAAUAGACCCGCGAAUAGCUUUUUAUUGGCGAGGUCUUCUUAGAGGGACGUUCAUUCUACAAGAUGAAGGAAGAUGGCGGCGAAUAACAGGUCUGUGAUGCCCUUAGAUGUCCUGGGCCGCACGCGCGUUACACUGAUGCACUCGAACGAGCAUAUAACCUUGGCCGAGAGGCCUGGGUAAUCUUGUUAACUUGCAUCGUGAUAGGGAUAGAUUAUUGCGAAUUAUUAAUCUUGAACGAGGAAUUCCUAGUAAUCGCAGUUCAUCAAACUGCAAUGAUUACGUCCCUGCCCUUUGUACACACCGCCCGUCGCACCUACCGAUUGAAUGGUCCGGUGAGGAGUCGAGAUUGUGGAUUAGCUCCUUUAUUGGGGCCUAUCCGCGAGAACCUCUCCAAACCUUAUCAUUAGAGGAAGUGAGUCGAGAUC